rnacentral:rRNA from 1 species
CCAAUAGCGUAUAUUAAAGUUGCUGCAGUUAAAAAGCUCGUAGUUGAAUUUCGGGAUCAUCAUGUCGGUCGUGCCUCGGUACGUACUGGCAUCGUUGGUUUCUCCCUUCUGACGAACCAUGAUGUCAUUUAUUUGGUGUUGUGGGGAAUCAGGACUGUUACUUUGAAAAAAUUAGAGUGUUUAAAGCAGGCUCACGCUUGAAUACAUUAGCAUGGAAUAAUGAAAUAGGACGUUUGAUUCUAUUUUGUUGGUUUCUAGGAUCGACGUAAUGAUUAAUAGGGAUAGUUGGGGGCAUUAGUAUUCAAUUGUCAGAGGUGAAAUUCUUGGAUUUAUUGAAGACUAACUACUGCGAAAGCAUUUGCCAAGGAUGUUUUCAUUAAUCAAGAACGAAAGUUAGGGGAUCGAAGACGAUCAGAUACCGUCGUAGUCUUAACCAUAAACUACGCCGACUAGGGAUCGGAUGAUGUUAAUUUUUUAAUGACUCAUUCGGCGCCUUACG